rnacentral:rRNA from 1 species
AGGAACCUGCCUCAAAGAGGGGGACAACAGUUGGAAACGACUGCUAAUACCGCAUAAGCCCACGGUGCCGCAUGGCACAGAGGGAAAAGGAGCAAUCCGCUUUGAGAUGGCCUCGCGUCCGAUUAGCUAGUUGGUGAGGUAACGGCCCACCAAGGCAACGAUCGGUAGCCGGACUGAGAGGUUGAACGGCCACAUUGGGACUGAGACACGGCCCAGACUCCUACGGGAGGCAGCAGUGGGGAAUAUUGCACAAUGGGGGAAACCCUGAUGCAGCGACGCCGCGUGGAGGAAGAAGGUCUUCGGAUUGUAAACUCCUGUUGUUGGGGAAGAUAAUGACGGUACCCAACAAGGAAGUGACGGCUAACUACGUGCCAGCAGCCGCGGUAAAACGUAGGUCACAAGCGUUGUCCGGAAUUACUGGGUGUAAAGGGAGCGCAGGCGGGAAGACAAGUUGGAAGUGAAAUCUAUGGGCUCAACCCAUAAACUGCUUUCAAAACUGUUUUUCUUGAGUAGUGCAGAGGUAGGCGGAAUUCCCGGUGUAGCGGUGGAAUGCGUAGAUAUCGGGAGGAAUACCAGUGGCGAAGGCGGCCUACUGGGCACCAACUGACGCUGAGGCUCGAAAGUGUGGGUAGCAAACAGGAUUAGAUACCCUGGUAGUCCACACCGUAAACGAUGAUUACUAGGUGU